rnacentral:lncRNA from 1 species
GCGGUGGCUCACGCCUGUAACCCCAGAACUCUAGGAGGCUGAGGUGGGCGGAUCACCUGAGGUCAGGAGUUCGAGACCAGCAUGGCCAACAUGGUGAAACCCUGUCUCUACUAAUCAGUUGGGCGUGGUGGCGCAUGCCUGUAAUCCCAGCUACUUGGGAGGCUGAGGCAGGAGAAUCACUUGAACCUGGGAGGCAGAGGUUGUGGUGAGCCGAGAUCGUGCCACUGCACUCCAGCCUGGGAGACAGAGCAAGACUCCACCUCAAAAAAAUUAUUAGACCCACCUCCAUUUCUAUAAAUGGCAAUAAAGUCCAACAUAACCAUUAUGGGAAAGUAAAAUACACAAAUAUAGGCCUGUGCGAUGUAGUAUACCUGGAAAGUUUAGAAAGGAGCAGAGGUUGCUUUUUGCAGCUAAUAAUCUUGCAAUAACAAUGGCAGAUUUAUAAAUUGUACUUCAGUCGGGACCUACGUUUUAUCUAAUUCUAUUUAACAUAUAAAUAUCUCUUAAUUAAGCUGUGUUCACCAAUUGAAAAUGUCUACACUGGAUUUGGCACAGCAAUAAAUUAUGCUUGCAUUAAUUUUCAUCAAUGUCGAA